GCCAGCAGCCAUAUCACAACUGGCAACCCACUGAAGCUCAGCAGGUGUGAGCCUGGUCAGUACCUGGAUGGGGAGACCUCCUGGGAAAAACUAAGGUUGCUGCUGGAA
rnacentral:rRNA from 1 species